rnacentral:lncRNA from 1 species
AAGAAACCAUCACCGAGCGUGCACCACUGUACCGACGUCGGAUCGAAGUACCCACCUGUACAACUGUUGCACCUGUCUCCUGACUGCAAAAGAACGUCAACCGGACCUAAGGAGGGUCCACUGGGUUAGUGUCUAACCCACAACUAAGAAACCAUAAAAGCAUAACCCCACAAAUAAACCCACGAGAAUCGGUUUCCCAAACCGAUCACCGUAAUACGCCGGAAAUCCCGUAAUCGCACCGAGACUCCGUCGGGACCCACGGACUGUCCCGGAACUCACCGACUCGUACCACGAGUCACCCGCUGCCCCUAAAUACAAUUUACGUGUGACCUGGCAGCAGAGACCUUAACUCACUCAAAAACGAUUAUCGUCGGAUAAUCGUUCCGAUCCGGGUUCCCGGAAGUGUCUAUUUCGACACCGGAACCCACCGUCGCUCACCCGUCAUUUCUGAACUCUCGAAAUGAUGCGAGUGACCAGCCAACAAGGCUCAGCGACUACACAAAAGCUCACAAAAGUACCGUCGGAAUAAUUCCGAACCAAAACCGCGUUCCGUCGGCGGAUUUUGCCGACAAACGCACCGAAAAUACAUUUUCGAUCUUCGCAAAGGUCCGGGGCCUUGGACAAUCAGUCCAGAGGUUACCCACAAUUCAUCCAUGCUGCCAACAGCAGCCGCAACAACCUAAAAUACAUAAAAGCCCUCCCAAUUACCCGAAAUCGCAUUAUUUCAUGCGAUUUCGGCACUUUAUGGUCCGUCCACGCAAACU